rnacentral:rRNA from 1 species
GACGAACGCUGGCGGCGUGCCUAAUACAUGCAAGUCGAGCGGGCCUCCGGAGGUGCUUGCACCUCCGGAAGGCCAGCGGCGGACGGGUGAGUAACACGUGGGCAACCUGCCUUUGAGGCCGGGAUAACACCGGGAAACCGGUGCUAAUACCGGAUACGUCCUCUUUCGCGCCUGCGAGAGGGGAGAAAGACGGUCUUUAAGGCCGUCGCUCAAAGAGGGGCCCGCGGCGCAUUAGCUGGUUGGUGGGGUAAGGGCCUACCAAGGCGACGAUGCGUUGCCGACCUGAGAGGGUGAUCGGCCACACUGGGACUGAGACACGGCCCAGACUCCUGCGGGAGGCAGCAGUAGGGAAUCAUCCGCAAUGGGCGAAAGCCUGACGGUGCAACGCCGCGUGAGUGAGGAAGGUUUUCGGAUCGUAAAGCUCUGUUGUGAGGGAAGAACAGCUUCCGGAGGAAAUGCCGGAGGUUUGCCGGUACCUCACCAGAAAGCCCCGGCUAACUACGUGCCAGCAGCCGCGGUAAGAC